ensembl:lncRNA
GAGAGGGUUAGACAGAGAGGGUUAGGGUAAGACAGAGAGGGUUAGGGUAAGACAGAGAGGGUUAGAGUAAGACAGAGAGGGUUAGGGUAAGACAGAGAGGGUUAGAGACAGAGAGGGUUAGAGUCAGAGAGGGUUAGAGUCAGAGAGGGUUAGAGACAGAGAGGGUUAGAGACAGAGAGGGUUAGAGUCAGAGAGGGUUAGAGUCAGAGAGGGUUAGAGUCAGAGCGGGUUAGAGACAGAGAGGGUUAGAGACAGAGAGGGUUAGUGUAAGACAGAGAGGGUUAGAGACAGAGAGGGUUAGAGACAGAGAGGGUUAGGGUAAGACAGAGAGGGUUAGAGACAGAGAGGGUUAGAGUGCUUCUACACCUGCAUUGCUUGCUGUUUGGGGUUUUAGGCUGGGUUUCUGUACAGCACUUUGAGAUAUCAGCUGAUGUACGAAGGGCUAUAUAAAUAAAUUUGAUUUGAUUUUGAUUUGAUUUGAUAGAGUCAGAAAGGGUUAGAGACAGAGGGUUAGAGACAGAGAGGGUUAGAGACAGAGAGGGUUAGGGUAAGACAGAGAGGGUUAGGGUAAGACAGAGAGGGUUAGAGACAGAGAGGGUUAGAGACAGAGAGGGUUAGAGUCAGAGAGGGUUAGAGUCAGAGAGGGUUAGAGACAGAGAGGGUUAGAGACAGAGAGGGUUAGAGACAGAGAGGUUUAGAGACAGAGAGGGUUAGAGACAGAGAGGGUUAGAGACAGAGAGGGUUAGGGUAAGACAGAGAGGGUUAGAGACAGAGAGGGUUAGGGUAAGAGAGGGUUAGAGACAGAGGGGGUUAGAGACAGAGAGGGUUAGAGACAGAGAGGGUUAGAGACAGAGAGGGUUAGGGUAAGACAGAGAGGGUUAGGGUAAGACAGAGAGGGUUAGAGACAGAGAGGGUUAGAGUCAGAGAGGGUUAGAGACAGAGAGGGUUAGAGUCAGAGAGGGUUAGAGACAGAGGGGGUUAGAGACAGAGAGGGUUAGAGACAGAGAGGGUUAGAGACAGAGAGGGUUAGAGACAGAGAGGGUUAGAGACAGAGAGGGUUAGAGACAGAGGGGGUUAGAGACAGAGAGGGUUAGAGACAGAGAGGGUUAGAGACAGAGAGGGUUAGAGACAGAGAGGGUUAGAGACGGAGAGGGUUAGAGUCAGAGAGGGUUAGAGACAGAGAGGGUUAGGGUUAGAGACCGUUUUUAUUUUAAUUAAAAAAUGUAUUAUUUAUUUAUCCAGGUUAGUGUUAUUGAGAUAAAAUCUAUUUUUCAAGAGAGACCUGGUCCAACCAAGACAGCAUCAGGAGUAACAACAUUUGAGACAAAUAUCAGACAUAGGGCUCUAUUUUCGGCUGGUGUUUCCGGUGAUAUUGUCAAACGCACUUUAGUUUGCAAUUUGGGCAUGUAAAUACAUUCGCACUGGCACUUUCCAGCCCAGGUUCAGCAAUAUGCCUGUCUUAUAUCAGCUUGACCUGCGCUCAGAUGGGAGGGGUGGAAAUAUUUGAGAUGUGUCCUUAAAAACAUGAUCCAAAGUGCUAAUUUCAGGCAGCACUUACAGGGCUUUUUAAAACCAACCAAAAGCUGGUUCUAGUGGCAACAGUUGGUUAUGUCAUAAAUUUUGACAGCGGAAACGAAUCCAGGCAGAAUCACAGCCGACCGUGAUUGGGAGUCCCAUAGGGCGCACAAUUGGCCCAGCGUCGUCCGGGUUUGGCCGGGGUAGGCGGUCAUUGUAAAUGAGAAUUUGUUCUUAACUGAGUUGCCUAGUUAAAUAAAGGUUAAAUUAAAACAAUUAGAAAAUACAUUAAAACAUACUAUCCAGCUGUGAUGCACAAUGCCCAUAUGAAGAUGGAACAAGAGUAGACUAAUGUGCUUUUGGUGCAUGUAUACUUCGUAUUUCGAAACAUUUUUUUUAAAUCAUGUUUUUUACCAUUUUGAUUUUAACCCAAGCAUAGACUCCCGUCUUCUCAAUGAAGGCCUUUUUGUCUGCCCAAAGCAAUUGCGAAGUAGUCAAGACUGUUGAUAAAGCGUUUGUCUCCUGAGACAAAUGUAAAUAAAUCUUCAUCACCAUUCAAAUAUAAAAGUGAUUUGAUAUUCCCUUUUUAUCUAUGCAUUGUAGGCAGGCCCACAUUAUUUUAGCCAUGCAGGUCCUGUUUUGGACAAGCAUAAAACCCUCUCUAUGUCCAGCUAUGGUGAUAAGUUUGGAUGUGCGUAAAACCCUUCAUAGCUGUUUUAAUAUUAUAAAGCCAGGUGGAGAAAUGAUGGUGCCUGUAAGUGUGUUUAAAACUAGUUGUUUAGUUUGGUUAACAAUUUGAUUCGAAUUACUCGCUCUCUUUUUGCUUAUUGACAACAUUUUGCAUGUCCAUGCUGAGCCAUAAUGCAAUUUACAGUGGGCCUAGCCUCUAUAUCAGUGCAAAUUCUAUGUAUAUAUUUCCACAUUGAAGACAUGAUUACAUAGAACAAUGUGGACUGAAAACAGGUUCAAGUCAACAUAUUAAGGAAAUAUAGAUCUACAUUUUGUUUCUGUAAGCCAAUUAACAAACUAUAAUGGACUAACAUUGGAUUUGGAGUUGAUUCCAAGGCAAUACAUACAAGACUGAAAAUACACAACUUGAAGCAACCAUCAUGUUUCACCUUGGAGCACAUCCUCACUGGCCAGUGAGGGCCAAGCCUGGACACACCCACAACUUUUUAACAUUUUAUUUCCCCUUUAUUUAACCAGGUAGGCCAGUUGAGAACAAGUUCUCAUUUACAACUGUGACCUGACCAAGACAAAGCAAAGCAGUGAGACACAAACAACACAGAGUUACACAUGGAAUAAACAUACAGUCAAUAAUACAAUAGAAAAAGUCUAUAUACAGUGUGUGCAAAUGAGGUAGGAUAAGGGAGGAAAGGAAAUAAACAGGCCGUAAUGGUGAAAUAUUUACAAUAUAGCAAUUAAACACUGGAGUGAUAGAUGUGCAGAGGAUGAAUGUGCAAGUAGAGAUACUGGGGUGCAAAGGAGCAAGAUAAAUAAUAGUAUGGGGAUAAGGUAGUUGGAUGGGCUAUGUACAGAUGCAGUGAUCUGUAAAUACCUAGGUCUCUGGCUAGACUAUAAACUCUCCUUCCAGGCUCAUAUUAAACAUCUCCAAUCCAAAAUUAAAUCUAGAAUCGGCAUUCUAUUUCACAACAAAGCCUCCUUCACUCACGCUGCCAAACAUACCCUUGUAAAACUGACUAUCCUACCGAUCCUCGACUUCGGCUAUGUAAUUUACAAAAUAGCCUCCAACACUCUACUCAGCAAACUGGAUGCAGUCUAUCACAGUGCCAUCCGUUUAGUCACCAAAGCCCCAUAUACUACCC